GUACACUACGUGUUUGACACUAGAUUGCUCUUAUUGCAGUUCGCUGGAGAUGCGUGACGGAUUAGUGUUGUUAUUUCUGCGAACCUGUAUCGCACUGUUACAAUACAGGUGCGGUUCGGCCAAUCUGUACCACCUUAAGAAGCUGAGAUUUUUAAAUUCAGUUUUGUAUAUGGAUUUUUUAAUUUCCAAUCAGUUUGAUAAAUUUAAAUUGUUUUUAUUCAUUAUACUGAUGAAUUUAUUUAGUACAACAAAACUUUAUUACUAAUUUAGCUGUUUUAAAAAAAUUGUUUAUAAUUAAAUAAUUUAUGCUGAUGGAUCCAGAAUUGACGAUUAGGAU
rnacentral:lncRNA from 1 species